GGGGGGCUAGUCCAAUCUAAGACCUCUGAUUUCGGCUCAGAAGAUUGUGGUUUAAUUCCAUGGCCCCCUU
rnacentral:tRNA from 1 species